CUGGGGAACUUGAGUGCAGAAGAGGAGAGUGGAAUUCCACGUGUAGCGGUGAAAUGCUAUAGAGAUGUGGAGGAACACCAGUGGCGAAGGCGACUCUCUGGUCUGUAACUGACGCUGAGGAGCGAAAGCGUGGGGAGCGAACAGGAUUAGAUACCCUGGUAGUCCACGCCGUAAACGAUGAGUGCUAAGUGUUAGGGGGUUUCCGCCCCUUAGUGCUGCAGCUAACGCAUUAAGCACUCCGCCUGGGGAGUACGGUCGCAAGACUGAAACUCAAAGGAAUUGACGGGGGCCCGCACAAGCGGUGGAGCAUGUGGUUUAAUUCGAAGCAACGCGAAGAACCUUACCAGGUCUUGACAUCCUCUGACAAUCCUAGAGAUAGGACGUCCCCUUCGGGGGCAGAGUGACAGGUGGUGCAUGGUUGUCGUCAGCUCGUGUCGUGAGAUGUUGGGUUAAGUCCCGCAACGAGCGCAACCCUUGAUCUUAGUUGCCAGCAUUCAGUUGGGCACUCUAAGGUGACUGCCGGUGACAAACCGGAGGAAGGUGGGGAUGACGUCAAAUCAUCAUGCCCCUUAUGACCUGGGCUACACACGUGCUACAAUGGACAGAACAAAGGGCAGCGAAACCGCGAGGUUAAGCCAAUCCCACAAAUCUGUUCUCAGUUCGGAUCGCAGUCUGCAACUCGACUGCGUGAAGCUGGAAU
rnacentral:rRNA from 1 species